AGUAGAGUAAAUAUUGCGCGUAAAGUGCCUUGGGAUGGGAAGUUGCCCUUGGACGAAGGUGGCCGUGAAAUUCUACCACGAUGUAAUAUUGCAUCCGCUACU
rfam:Lactonifactor longoviformis DSM 17459 genome assembly, contig: EJ64DRAFT_scaffold00016.16